CCUACGGGGUGCAGCAGUGAGGAAUAUUGGUCAAUGGGCGUAAGCCUGAACCAGCCAAGUCGCGUGAGGGAUGAAGGUUCUAUGGAUCGUAAACCUCUUUUAUAAGGGAAUAAAGUGUGGGACGUGUCCUAUUUUGUAUGUACCUUAUGAAUAAGGAUCGGCUAACUCCGUGCCAGCAGCCGCGGUAAUACGGAGGAUCCGAGCGUUAUCCGGAUUUAUUGGGUUUAAAGGGUGCGUAGGCGGCCUUUUAUGUCAGCGGUGAAAGUCUGUGGCUCAACCAUAGAAUGGCCGUUGAAACUGGGGGGCUUGAGUAAGUUUGGGGCAGGCGGAAUGCGUGGUGUAGCAGUGAAAUGCUUAGAUAUCACGCAGAACCCCGAUGGCGAAGGCAGGCUGCCAAGCCAUGACUGACGCUGAUGCACGAAGGCGUGGGGAUCGAACAGGAUUAGAUACCCUUGUAGUC
rnacentral:rRNA from 1 species